AUGAAGCUAGAGCAGACAUUGCUGACAAGUGCCCAGUCUCAGGUCAAACUGGUUGAGUCUGGAGGGGAUGUCAAAAGGCCAGGAGAGUCCCUGCGCCUCUCCUGCCAAGCCUCCGGCUUCACCUUCAGCAGCUACCGAAUGAACUGGGUGAGACAAGCACCUGGAAAGGGCCUAGAAUGGGUAGCCUAUAUCAGUACACAAUCCACUCCCAUUUACUACUCGGACGCCGUGAAGGGCCGCUUCACCAUCUCCCGAGACGACUCCAACAGCCAGCUGCAUUUGCAAAUGAGCAGCCUCAAGCCUGAGGACACGGCAGUGUAUUACUGUGCAAGAGACACA